rnacentral:lncRNA from 1 species
GGUUUCAAAAUCGACAACAUUUGAAACAUCAAGUAGUUUGACUUCCACUGUUCUCUUCAAGGUUGUUUUUUUGUUGUUGUUUGUUUUUUGUUUUUUUCUGCAUCUAUUUGGUUAAUAGGGCAAGAUCAUGAGUGAAGACUAUCAGGAUCCUUCUAGUCCAUCAUCUAAGCCUGGUAAUUCCUCCUGGUCAGCAUAUCCUGUUAAUAUUAUAUGGCAUUUAGACAGGAAGGGAAGAUCAGCUUCAGGCUCAAAGCAGAUUCUCUGGGAGCAGAAAACACUUCAGCAGGGCUGUAGCCUGCUUUCCUCUCAAAGCAGCACUCCCAGUGGCUCACACAGUUUGCUUGGUCAUCAGCCAACCUACUGGGGAAGCUGCCUGCUGGUUUGAAAGAGCACCCAACGAUCUGGAAGACUGUCUACUGCAACUGUACAUGGUUGCACCAGAUCCACGGAGCCCUUGAAUUGCCCCUUGGCAACCUUAAAAGGACCUAGAAGUAUGAAAAAAUCAUCAAUGUCACUUGGGAUGGACUUUGAACAAGAUGAGCCAUAUUUCUUCUGAGACUCUGCAGGGAACUGCCUGGAGCAUUUCUGAGCAUACCCGAAUGUAUAUAGGAUACAUUUUGAGAAACACGAUCACCAUAGCUUAUGUGCUCAAGAUGAGACUUUAUUUCCCCGCAUUAAUGCAAUGGCCUUAUUCUCCGUUCCCACAAUGGACUCAAGCAGUCAAUGAUUGGUUAAAUUGUUCAUUCUGCCUCUUGCCUGGGAGGCUUUUGCUGUGAGCAUGCAUCAAGCACAAAAUCUGACUGCCAUGGAACAUUAAACAGGCUGUGAAACCUCAGUUGUAACAUCAAUAAAAUGGGAAGAACAAAAAAGUUGCUGUGAAGAUAAAAUGAGUAAUGAUGGAAUAGUCUGUGGUCGAGUGCAGAAAUACUAUUACCUGUUCCUGGAGGCAAAGAUUAAAGGAAUAGACACCUUCCUCAGCCAGAAUGACCCAGGCCAGGAGCCACAGUGUCAACUUGGAAAAUUUCUCCUUCCUCAUCUCCACAUCAUGUCUGCAGCCUUAACUGCUUGACACCUGACAACUACUCUUAUCUCCAUUGUGUUGUUUUGUUUUGUGUCAUGAUCUUUUUGAAUGUGCAAUUGUAAUGAUCUCUUAACUUGUUUAUUGACCCCAAACUUCACCUGCUUUCCACACUGCUGCCAGAGUCAGGACCCCUUAGUGUGGGCUAAAAG